ACGUGGUGGAUGCCUUGGCGAUGACAGGCGAUGAAGGACGUGGCAGCCUGCGAAAAGCCUCGGGGAGCUGGCAAGCAAGCGUUGAUCCGGGGGUCUCCGAAUGGGGCAACCCACCCGAUGAGGGUAUCGGCACCUGAAUCCAUAGGGUGUCGAGGCGAACGCGGGGAACUGAAACAUCUCAGUACCCGCAGGAAAAGACAUCAACCGAGAUUCCCAAAGUAGUGGCGAGCGAAAUGGGAGCAGCCUGCACGAUGUAGCCGCUGGCUUAUCAGAACGGUCUGGAAAGUCCGGCCACAGAGGGUGACAGCCCCGUAUGGGAAAAGCCGGCGGUGGAACUAGGCGUGCGACAAGUAGGGCGGGACACGAGAAAUCCUGUCUGAAGAUGGGGGGACCAUCCUCCAAGGCUAAAUACUCGUCAUCGACCGAUAGUGAACCAGUACCGUGAGGGAAAGGCGAAAAGAACCCCGGGAGGGGAGUGAAACAGAACCUGAAACCGCGUGCUUACAAACAGUCGGAGCCCUUUUGGGGUGACGGCGUACCUUUUGUAUAAUGGGUCAGCGACUUACGUUCAGUGGCAAGCUUAACCGAGUAGGGUAGGCGCAGGGAAACCGAGUCCGAACAGGGCGAGUUGAGUCGCUGGGCGUAGACCCGAAACCAGGUGAUCUAUCCAUGGCCAGGCUGAAGGUGCCGUAACGGGUACUGGAGGGCCGAACCCACUGCUGUUGCAAAAGCAGGGGAUGAGCUGUGGAUAGGGGUGAAAGGCUAAACAAACCUGGAAAUAGCUGGUUCUCUCCGAAAACUAUUUAGGUAGUGCCUCACGUAUCACCUUCGGGGGUAGAGCACUGUUUUGGCUAGGGGGUCAUGGCGACUUACCAAACCAAGGCAAACUCCGAAUACCGAAGAGUGGCAGCGUGGGAGACAGUGCACCGGGUGCUAACGUCCGGACACGAGAGGGAAACAACCCAGACCGCCAGCUAAGGUCCCUAAGACCGGCUAAGUGGGAAACGAGGUGGGAAGGCUAAGACAGUCAGGAUGUUGGCUUAGAAGCAGCCAUCAUUUAAAGAAAGCGUAAUAGCUCACUGAUCGAGUCGUCCUGCGCGGAAGAUGUAACGGGGCUCAAGCCGGGCACCGAAGCUGCGGAUGCGUGGCAACACGCAUGGUAGGAGAGCGUUCCGUAGGCCGCUGAAGGUGGGGUGAGAACCCUGCUGGAGGUAUCGGAAGUGCGAAUGCUGACAUGAGUAGCGUUAAAGCGGGUGAAAAGCCUGCUCGCCGCAAGCGCAAGGUUUCCUACGCAACGUUCAUCGGCGUAGGGUGAGUCGGCCCCUAAGGCGAGGCCGAAAGGCGUAGCUGAUGGGAAGCAGGUCAACAUUCCUGCACCGGCUGCAAGUGCGAUGUGGGGACGGAUCCAGCUAGGUCAGGCCGGCGGUUGGAAGGGCCGGUUGAGGCGGAAGUAGGCGACACGUAGGCAAAUCCGCGUGUCACAUACCGAGGCCGUCGCUCGAGCAAGCAAGGCUUGCGAAGUGACCGAAUGGGGUCCCAGGAAAAGCCACUAAGCGUUUCAGCUUGCAGCUGACCGUACCGCAAACCGACACUGGUGCGCGAGAUGAGUAUUCUCAGGCGCUUGAGAGAACUCGGCAGAAGGAACUCGGCAAAUUGACACCGUAACUUCGGGAUAAGGUGUGCCCUAGUAGCGUGUAGAGAGCAUCGAAGCGCGAAUGGGUUGCAAAAAAUAGGUGGCUGCGACUGUUUACUAAAAACACAGCACUCUGCGAACACGGUAAGUGGACGUAUAGGGUGUGACGCCUGCCCGGUGCCGGAAGAUUAAGUGAUGGGGUGAUGAGCUCUUGAUCGAAGUCCCGGUAAACGGCGGCCGUAACUAUAACGGUCCUAAGGUAGCGAAAUUCCUUGUCGGGUAAGUUCCGACCUGCACGAAUGGCGUAACGAUGGCCACACUGUCUCCUGCCGAGACUCAGCGAAGUUGAAGUGUUUGUGAUGAUGCAAUCUCCCCGCGGAAAGACGGAAAGACCCCAUGAACCUUUACUGCAGCUUUGUAUUGGACUUUGAACGGAUCUGUGUAGGAUAGGUGGGAGGCUGUGAAGCAGGGCCGCCAGGUUCUGUGGAGCCGACGUUGAAAUACCACCCUGGUGCGUUUGAGGUUCUAACCUGGGCCCCUGAAGCGGGGCUGGGGACAGUGCAUGGUGGGCAGUUUGACUGGGGCGGUCUCCUCCUAAAGCGUAACGGAGGAGCACGAAGGUACGCUAGGCACGGUCGGACAUCGUGCUGUUAGUGCAUAGGCUUUAAGCGUGCUUGACUGCGAGACUGACAAGUCGAGCAGGUGCGAAAGCAGGUCUAAGUGAUCCGGUGGUUCUGCAUGGAAGGGCCAUCGCUCAACGGAUAAAAGGUACUCUGGGGAUAACAGGCUGAUACCGCCCAAGAGUUCAUAUCGACGGCGGUGUUUGGCACCUCGAUGUCGGCUCAUCUCAUCCUGGGGCUGUAGCCGGUCCCAAGGGUAUGGCUGUUCGCCAUUUAAAGAGGUACGUGAGCUGGGUUUAAAACGUCGUGAGACAGUUUGGUCCCUAUCUUCCGUGGGCGCUGCAGAUUUGAGGGAGCCUGCUCCUAGUACGAGAGGACCGGAGUGGACGCACCUCUGGUGUACCGGUUGUGACGCCAGUUGCAUCGCCGGGUAGCUAAGUGCGGAAGAGAUAACCGCUGAAAGCAUCUAAGCGGGAAACUCGUCCCAAGAUGAGAUCUGCCUGGGGGCUUGACCCCCCUGAAGGGUCGUCGAAGACCACGACGUGGAUAGGCUGGGUGUGUAAGGGCAGCAAUGCCUUGAGCUAACCAGUACUAAUCGCCCGUG
rnacentral:rRNA from 1 species